rnacentral:rRNA from 1 species
AUGGACGCUGGCGGCGUGCCUCAUCCCUGCAAGUCGAGCGAACGGACGAGAAGCUUGCUUCUCUGAUGUUAGCGGCGGACGGGUGAGUAACACGUGGAUAACCUACCUAUAAGACUGGGAUAACUUCGGGAAACCGGAGCUAAUACCGGAUAAUAUUUUGAACCGCAUGGUUCAAAAGUGAAAGACGGUCUUGCUGUCACUUAUAGAUGGAUCCGCGCUGCAUUAGCUAGUUGGUAAGGUAACGGCUUACCAAGGCAACGAUGCAUAGCCGACCUGAGAGGGUGAUCGGCCACACUGGAACUGAGACACGGUCCAGACUCCUACGGGAGGCAGCAGUAGGGAAUCUUCCGCAAUGGGCGAAAGCCUGACGGAGCAACGCCGCGUGAGUGAUGAAGGUCUUCGGAUCGUAAAACUCUGUUAUUAGGGAAGAACAUAUGUGUAAGUAACUGUGCACAUCUUGACGGUACCUAAUCAGAAAGCCACGGCUAACUACGUG